rnacentral:rRNA from 1 species
UACGGAGGGUGCGAGCGUUGUUCGGAAUCACUGGGCGUAAAGGGCGCGUAGGCGGCGUGUUAAGUCAGAUGUGAAAGCCCACGGCUUAACUGUGGAAGUGCAUUUGAAACUGGCAUGCUUGAGUACCAGAGGGGAAGGUGGAAUUCCCGGUGUAGAGGUGAAAUUCGUAGAUAUCGGGAGGAAUACCGGUGGCGAAGGCGACUUUCUGGCUGGAUACUGACGCUGAGGCGCGAAAGCAUGGGGAGCAAACAGGAUUAGAUACCCUGGUAGUCCAUGCCGUAAACGACGUGAACUAGAUGUUGGAGGUGUUGAUCCCUUCGGUGUCGGAGCUAACGCAUUAAGUUCACCGCCUGGGGAGUACGGUCGCAAGAUUAAA